rnacentral:rRNA from 1 species
AUUGAACGCUGGCGGCAUGCCUUACACAUGCAAGUCGAACGGCAGCAUGGAGAGCUUGCUCUCUGAUGGCGGGUGGCGAACGGGUGAGUAAUGCAUCGGAACGUACCGUGUAAUGGGGGAUAACGUAGCGAAAGUUACGCUAAUACCGCAUACGACCUGAGGGUGAAAGCAGGGGAUCGCAAGACCUUGCGUUAUACGAGCGGCCGAUGUCAGAUUAGCUAGUUGGUGAGGUAAAGGCUCACCAAGGCGACGAUCUGUAGCGGGUCUGAGAGGAUGAUCCGCCACCCUGGGACUGCGACACGGCCCAGACUCCUACGGGAGGCAGCAGUGGGGAAUUUUGGACAAUGGGGGCAACCCUGAUCCAGCCAUGCCGCGCGAAUGAAGAAGGCCUUCGGGUUGUAAAGCUCUUUCGGCCGGGAAGAAAUCGCACAGGCUAAUACUCUGUGUGGAUGACGGUACCGGCAUAAGAAGCACCGGCUAACUACGUGCCAGCCGCCGCCGUAA